CGCGGUGUCGUGAGGAGUGAGUACCGCGUGUUUGUCCUUUGGUGGCCGCCUUUAUUAUCAGUUUAUUACACUCGGUUGCUUGCAGGAGACUUUUGUAAACGUGUGUCCGUGCGUGCGGUGAUGUGACGGAGCUCGUACCUCCCGAGUGCACAAGUCUGAGGGUCUGACGGAUGCAGGAGGCUCACCGUCACGCUGCUUCUACCGGUGGAGGCCUCAGGUGGUAUGUCCCGGCAGGUUACAGGGACGCAGGUAAGUCGGAGCACCUGAGGAGAACGUGUCCCUUAAACCCCUUGCAGCGUCCAGGAACACCUUUCCCCGCCACGCCUCGCCUCACCACCACACCACCAGCACGCCGCGGGAAUACUAACACUUCACUUUCACUCUCCGUGAAGGCAGUUCCAGGGCAAAAUAUGAACAGAAAAGUAAAACUGCAAAGCACUGUUCCCACAAAAAAAAGGUAAGGUGAAUUUUUUAAUAUAAUUGUAGUGGAUAGAAGAAAAUCAAGGAAUCAUUUAGUUUUAUUAAACAUGAUAAAGCUCUAUUUUAAGUUACAUGUGAGAAUAUAACAACAAGGAAUGGGAUUGGAACCAAUUAUAAUGAAGCAGUGUAGGCAUUAGUCCUAUCAGCUGAGGUGGUGUUGGUGACAGUAGGAGGGGACACUCACAGCACAGAGGAAUGUUGGGGCUUGGUCCGGAAAGGGACUGGUGAAGCAUUAGUUACAAGGCAGUCUGUGUAAUGCUGUCAGUCUUCUUUCAAACACAUUUAAGUUGAGCCCUUAAGUGUUCCUUUUACCGAUGAUAAGUUCAUCAUACCAUUAGGGAAAUGAUAAGUUCAUCAUACCAUUAGGGAAAGGCUUGUUAUUGUCGUGAUGGGAUGGUCGUCUCAUCUCAAAUGCGUCAGUGUACCCUUGGCACAUUGAGAAAUUGUUGUGUCAGAAGCAGAAUCAGAUGACCUAGAGAACAAGUGUACAUAAUCCUCCUCAAUACUUCUGCCACACUCUAUACACUCUUCAUAUACAAACAUGAAUAAUAGGUACGGUGAGAUAAAUUAUAAAUUCUAUACCAGCAUAUAUUCCUCAUUGGCACACUAUACAAGAAACAAUUCAUUUCGGAAGAUUGCAAUGUACAUUUUAUUACCUAUAUGAGUGAAUUGUGCCCAGUGCAGCUUUUAGCUAGAUAGGACUCUGGUUGUUGGGACAGCACGUCUUUGAGUAUAUUGUAGCCUCAGUGUUACUGACAAGGUGAAAUAUUUUCAUAAAUAUUUUAGGCAUGAAAACUAUGAAAAUGUAUCAAUACCAAUCACCUCUUAAGGAUGCUGGUAGCGGAAGUAUGGUUAAUUAACUAACAUCAUUGCUGCUUGCACUGGAUGACAGGAGACUGGCAACACCUGCCACAACCUCUUUUCCAUAUCUGGUACAAAAAUAUUAUCUAACUAAUGUGAAUCCUUGGGGGCUAUGACCUUCCAUAGUGGAAAAAAAAUAUUAAAAGGUUUGCCAGUUGCCAUCAAAUAAUAUGUAGAAGUGUGAAGAUGAUAAUGAUACAUUUGAUGACUUCUCUGGUCAAACUUUUGAGCUUGUGAACUGAUAUCUGUUCAUGUACCACAUUUUAUUCAAAUCAGUAAUUCUCUACAUACAAGUAAUAAAAGCAACAGGCAUGAAGCCACAGGCUUCAAACAAAUAUUUCACUCCAUAUCUUCACUUCAGCCUCUUGUAACCACCAUACACAACACAAGAAAGUGAACACCUCUCUAGGAGCAUUGUGCUUGACAUCACUCUUCUAAGCACACAUUUAGCAUGUGACUUUCUGUUC